GAAUUUUCAUGGUGGGAAUGGAUGAAUCCAUUCAUCUCCUCACUUCAUCUCAUCUCCUAAAUAGUAUUGGGACCAGGAGGGAAUGUUAUAAUUGUCGAAGGAAACAUUGAGGAUGCCAGGGCUUUGUUGGGACCCUUUGAAGGAAAGCAAUUCCUUUCAAAGGUCAAAAAAAUGGAAUACCUCUUGUCCUGAGUGGAGACAUGACAUUCUGAUUUCUCUGAAGAGUAGAAGGUUAUGUACUGUUUACUGCUGUUUCCCUCCGGAGUUAAUCCAUACUGGGUAUGGUGGCUUCUGGAGGCGGGCAGAUCUCUGUGGCUGUCACCUUCUACCAUAGGACUGUCUGUCUGCCAUGAGCCUGGCUUUCUUUCUCCUCCUCUUCGGCUCCCUUCUCCCAGUGGCUGCACAUGUUUACAGCUUGCCUGAUCUGUCGUUUUUCUUUCAAAUGCUAAUAAAACUGUUCUGGAACUUUCAA
rnacentral:lncRNA from 1 species